rnacentral:lncRNA from 1 species
CGAUUGUUGUGGUGGUGAUGGUUUCACACAGCUGAGUUAAAACUCAUACACGCACACAAAGAAAACUUUAUGACAAAAGAGAACGACAUUUCCAGUGUGCGCUGUGAUGGGGCUGGAGAUGCAGGAGACCAGCAGAUCUGCCACCGGGGGCCUUGGCCUAGAGACCCAGGCUCUGUGUGCCCUGGGGCACAAAGACAAAUGGCCAAGUGACAAGACACAAGGACCACAUGGGAACUAGAAGCUGACAUGUGUCUUAUACAUGUCCUGGCAGACAAGGUUAGCAGUCCACAAGUGACCACCUCUCCAUGGCACGCUCUCUAGCCCACAGAAGGAGCAUUCUCAUGCAUACUUCAGAGAUUAAGACUCCG